GACGAACCGUGCGAACGUUAUUCGGAAUCACUGGGCUUAAAGCGCGUGUAGGCGGGAGGGCACGUCCGUUGCUGAAAUCCCCCGGCUCAACCGGGGAACGGGCGCGGAUACGACUCUCCUUGAGGGGCGUAGGGGGACCUGGAACUUCCGGUGGAGCGGUGAAAUGCGUUGAGAUCGGAAGGAACGCCCGUGGCGAAAGCGCGGUCCUGGACGCUUACUGACGCUGAGACGCGAAAGCCAGGGGAGCGAACGGG
rnacentral:rRNA from 1 species